rnacentral:tRNA from 1 species
GCCGAAGUGGUGGAAUUGGUAGACACGCUGGGUUUAGGUUCCAGUUCCGUAGGAAGUAGGGGUUCAAGUCCCCUCUUCGGUA